rnacentral:rRNA from 1 species
GAUGAACGCUGGCGGCGUGCCUAAUACAUGCAAGUCGAGCGAACGGACGAGAAGCUUGCUUUUCUGAUGUUAGCGGCGGACGGGUGAGUAACACGUGGAUAACCUACCUAUAAGACUGGGAUAACUUCGGGAAACCGGAGCUAAUACCGGAUAAUAUUUUGAACCGCAUGGUUCAAAAGUGAAAGACGGUCUUGCUGUCACUUAUAGAUGGAUCCGCGCUGCAUUAGCUAGUUGGUAAGGUAACGGCUUACCAAGGCAACGAUGCAUAGCCGACCUGAGAGGGUGAUCGGCCACACUGGAACUGAGCAACGGUCCCGACUCCUACGGGAGGCAGCAGUAGGGAAUCUUCCGCAAUGGGCGAAAGCCUGACGGAGCCACGCCGCGUGAGUGAUGAAGGUCUUCGGAUCGUAAAACUCUGUUAUUAGGGAAGAACAUAUGUGUAAGUAACUGUGCACAUCUUGACGGUACCUAAUCAGAAAGCCACGGCUAACUACGUG